AGAGUUUGAUCAUGGCUCAGGAUGAACGCUAGCGACAGGCCUAACACAUGCAAGUCGAGGGGCAGCACAAGGAGCAAUCUGAGGUGGCGACCGGCGCACGGGUGAGUAACACGUAUGCAACCUACCUUCCACAGGAGAAUAACCCGUUGAAAAACGGACUAAUACUCCAUAAUACAGGGGUCCCGCAUGGGAAUAUUUGUUAAAGAUUUUUUUCGGUAGAAGAUGGGCAUGCGUUCCAUUAGCUAGUUGGUUGAGGUAACGGCUCACCAAGGCAACGAUGGAUAGGGGAACUGAGAGGUUUAUCCCCCACACUGGUACUGAGACACGGACCAGACUCCUACGGGAGGCAGCAGUGAGGAAUAUUGGUCAAUGGAGGCAACUCUGAACCAGCCACGUCGCGUGAAGGAUGACGGCCCUACGGGUUGUAAACUUCUUUUAUACAGGAAUAAAGUGAGUCACGUGUGACUUUUUGCAUGUACUGUAUGAAUAAGGAUCGGCUAACUCCGUGCCAGCAGCCGCGGUAAUUCGGAGGAUGCGAGCGUUAUCCGGAUUUAUUGGGUUUAAAGGGUGCGUAGGCGGGAUAUUAAGUCAGCGGUGAAAGUUUUCGGCUCAACCUUAAAAUUGCCGUUGAAACUGUUAUUCUUGAGUGCAGUAGAGGUAGGCGGAAUUCGUUGUGUAGCGGUGAAAUGCGUAGAUAUAACGAGGAACUCCGAUUGCGUAGGCAGCUUACUAUAUUGCUACUGACGCUGAGGCACGAAAGUGUGGGUAUCAAACAGGAUUAGAUACCCUGUAGUCCACACAGUAAACGAUGAAUACUAGCUGUUUGCGAUAUAUUGUAAGCGGCCGAGCGAAAGCAUUAAGUAUUCCACCUGGGGAGUACGUCGGCAACGAUGAAACUCAAAUGAAUUGACGG
rnacentral:rRNA from 1 species